GGGAGCCAAGCCUGGCCCUCCUGGCGUGGGAAAACAAUCCCGUAGCGCCCGCUCGCCACAGUGCUGCUCUGCUGCCAUGAAAACCUAAAUCUCACAACCCAUAACAGCAUGCCUCUUGAAUUCCUGAGCUAAACGGGGAAGUUAAAGAGCAUCCUUGCUUCUUUUGAAGCUCUUGAAGGUUUGGACUCCUUUACACUGUGAAAACGUCUGGGGAGAAGAUUGGGAGUUCCUGAACAUUAUUGAGCUUGUUCACAACUGAGACCUAAAUAUCCGUGACAAAGUCUGUGUUCAUCCUGUGUUCAUGUGUCUCAAAAGAAGAGAAUAAAGUCAAAAGCAAGUCCUACUCUGUAACAACAACUAAAAAAGCUUCAUCUCUGGGGCUUAAUCUCUUUCACAUUUGCAUACAUCUGUCAGUCUUACAUGCCCGUGGUGCUGCCAGGCAGCUGGGAAGCACCUCUUCAGCAUUAUACCAGGACUAUAUCCAUCCUUGAAAAUUAUAUCACUGUUUCUGCCAUACUCUACAACUGCAAACAGUGUCUGUUUAAUAAACAAUGCUCAAAGUAUUUUAUUUCCAUCUGCUACUAAAUAUUGUUUCUUUGAAAAUCUUGUCCUUAUUAUGAGCUUUAUCCACGAGGGUAUUAGUAUAGCCUAAUAUCUUCAGGAAGCCUCAUAAAAGUUUGUGGCAAAGGCAUUAUUUGGCAA